rnacentral:rRNA from 1 species
AGUAACGCGUGGGUAACCUGCCCUACACACAGGGAUAGCCAUUGGAAACGAUGAUUAAUACCUGAUAAUACAAAGAUGGCGCAUGUUGUCUUUGUCAAAGAUUUAUCGGUGUAGGAUGGACCCGCGUCUGAUUAGCUAGUUGGUAAGGUAACGGCUUACCAAGGCGACGAUCAGUAGCCGACCUGAGAGGGUGAUCGGCCACACUGGAACUGAGACACGGUCCAGACUCC